UACGAAGGGGGCGAGCGUUGUUCGGAUUUACUGGGCGUACAGGGAGCGUAGGCGGUUGGAUAAGCCCUCCGUGAAAUCUUCAGGCUUAACCUGGAAAGUGCAGAGGGGACUGUUCAGCUAGAGGAUGGGAGAGGAGCGCGGAAUUCCCGGUGUAGCGGUGAAAUGCGUAGAGAUCGGGAGGAAGGCCGGUGGCGAAGGCGGCGCUCUGGAACAUUUCUGACGCUGAGGCUCGAAAGCGUGGGGAGCAAACAGG
rnacentral:rRNA from 1 species